CCCUCCAGCCCAUUCCCAUCCCUUCCCAAACCGCAGCAGCAAUGAGGGAAGAGCUUGGAUUUCCUCCCCGGGGCAUAGGCGGAGUUUUUAAACCGAGCCAGCACACAGAGUCCCCGGUGUGAGGUGUGAACAAACAGCUCGGCUGAUCAUUAACAACGGGCAGGGCUGCGGGAGCUGCUCCCUGGAAUUAUCCAGCCCACUGAGAAUUGGUGUGGAGUCAGCCAGGGCUUGUCCUGCUGUACCCUCCAUUCCUGGAAAAACUGGGAAACUCUUAGGAAAGCAGGUGAAUCUUUGUGGGAAAGAUUUGAAAGACUGGAUGGCAGACUGGAAAACCACAUUUCCCUGUCCUUGUGUCCCUGUUGCAACUCUCUCACCUAUAGCCAGGAAUUGCCGAACACUGAGUAUUUCACUGCUGAUUUUUGAGGGUUCCUCAUCUCCUGAGACCUGGAACUGCUGAGGGCUGAGGGCUGUGGAGUCACUGUGAGCUUUGCUCUGAAGGCAUGAACUCUCCUUAGGAAAGUUUUCCCAAAAAAACCCCAACAAAACCAAAACCAAACCAUCAAAAAAAAAAACCAAAAAAGGCACCACAACAACAAAUACUCCCCCACAAAAAAAAAAAAAAAAUUAAAAAGAAAGAAAGGAAACCCACAAAUAACAUGAAAGAAAAACCAAGCGGGGCCCAGGUGCCUGGAGGCUGGAGCCGGGUAUCUCACUCUUAAUGGAUCCAUUCAAUCUCCAUAAAGCCCUUCAGAAUGCAGAGCCCUGAGCAAAUGAGUUCCUGAGGAUCCCAGAGUGAGGGGUUUGGGAGAGGAGCAGGUGACAACAUUCCCAUUUCUGGGUUGGCUGCAGCCUGGGACA
rnacentral:lncRNA from 1 species